rnacentral:rRNA from 1 species
ACGGAAGGCAGCAGUGGGGAAUUUUGCGCAAUGGGCGAAAGCCUGACGCAGCAACGCCGCGUGCGGGAUGACGGCCUUCGGGUUGUAAACCGCUUUCAGCAGGGACGAUUAUGACGGUACCUGCAGAAGAAGCUCCGGCUAACUACGUGCCAGCAGCCGCGGUAAUACGUAGGGAGCGAGCGUUAUCCGGAUUCAUUGGGCGUAAAGCGCGCGUAGGCGGAUGCCUAAGCGGGACCUCUAAUCCGAGGGCUCAACCCCCGGCCGGGUCCCGAACUGGGCGUCUCGAGUUAGGUAGGGGCAGGCGGAAUUCCAUGUGUAGCGGUGAAAUGCGCAGAUAUAUGGAAGAACACCGAUGGCGAAGGCAGCCUGCUGGGCCUCAACUGACGCUGAGGUGCGAAAGCGUGGGGAGCGAACAGGAUUAGAUACCCUGGUA